rnacentral:lncRNA from 1 species
GGGACUUGAAUGGAAUACACGUUAUGAAAUAAUUAGAGGCAUUUGUGAAGGUUUGCAUCAUCUGCACAAGGAAAAGCAGAUAUAUCAUAUGGAUCUGAAACCUGAGAAUAUACUACUUGAUAAGGAUAUGGUGCCGAAAAUAACAGAUUUUGGUUUAUCGAGACUUGAUGAGAAGUCAAAAACCAUGAGUGAAGACCGUCAUGGAUCACCGUAAGCUAUGCAUUAAAGAACAUGUUUCUUUGCAUUUACCCUGACAUUUUCUGAUGCUAUAAUGCAUUAAAAUACCAUCCUUCUAUGCAGCGGAUAUUGUGCUCCAGAAUACCUACAUCGGGGAAAGAUGUCAUUCAAAUCAGACAUGUAUAGUUUAGGCGUUAUUAUCAUGGAAUUACUGACAGGAGAAAAGGCAAUCCACAGUAAUAAUAACAAUGUAAGAGUGUUUUACCUUGCCGCACAUAUAAUCUCUUUCUAGAAAUACCCUAGCAUUGUGCCUUGCGUAUAUGUUACAUUGUUUGAGGUAUUGCAUGGCAUAUUUAGUCACAUAACACAUAUAUGAAGAGAAGGAUUAGCUAUGCGCUGGUCUGGAAAGUAAACGCUUUCUCAAGUGUCGAUAUUGAGUUCCUUAUCACUCAUACCACAGUUUUACAAAUUGAUUCCAAUGGAUGGAACUUUCAUGUGAUGGCUUGAAAUAUUGACAUUUCAUCCAAGUGGCACCAGGUCAUCAUGGCCCUGUCGAUCCUCCUUAGAGCACUCUCUUUCUCUCCCUCGCGCUCCAUAUUGUAUAGUCCGAGCUAAGUUAAUAAUUUCGUGUGACCUUGACAGGUUUAGGAAUACUGACACAUAUUAUUUAUCCACAACAGAAAUUACUAGUCGGAUUUCUUUUCUCCUAGGGCACACAAGGAGUGGACAUUGAUCUGUUAUUGCGUAUUUCUUUAGAAUUUUUUUGACUUUCUACAUGUCAUAUUUUGUGGAAUGACAGGUGCUUAGGAGAUGGAGGCAUAGAUGGAAGAAAACAGGGAAGGAAACACUGUUGGUUUACGAACAAGUAGCAAAAUGCGUUGAAAUUGGGUUACUCUGCCUGGAAAUUGACCCAUCCAAACGGCCUUUUAUAUGGGAUAUCAUACAUGCUAUCAGAGAAAUGGAAGGCGUUAAUGGGACAAUCAGCAAUCACUCUGAAUAUACGUUUGGACAGGUAAGCUCGUGUGCUCCCUGAGACGUAUUAGUUCGCUAUAUACUACUCUCUCCAGUUGUUACAGCCCAACCUGGGCAGUUGCCCUGGCUCUGGUGUGGAUCUGCCAUUCAAUCCACUGCAGGAAAUGAAGAGCUAAUGAAUAUUUUCCAUGGGAAAAAUCGGCCAGAAGCUCUUGUGCUUUGCCGAGGCUCGCUCAUCGAGCUGGCUCCGACACUAGUUAUGUGAUACAUAUAUCAUUGUCUAAAAAAUGUAAUACAUAUUUGUUCUGCUCUUUUCUUGCAGUUAAACCCUUACUCGAAGGACGAUAUGCUUGGAAUUGAGCCGCUCGAUCUACAUUUUCCUUUCCAACUUAACAAAAAGUCGUCUUGCACCUUUCAACUAACCAAUGAAACAGACUCUUACAUUGCCUUCAACGUCGAACAUAUGAACCCCCUGUCAUACUGUGCACUGCCACAGAAAGGCAUUAUACCGCCACGAUCCAAGUGUAAUGUCGAAAUAACAAUGGAACCACAGGGCAAGGCACUGAGAGAUCGUACCAGCGAAUUUACUGUGUGGAGCACCAAAGUUAAUGAUGGCCUUACCAUUGAGGAUAUAACUACAAGCAUGUUCAUUCAAGAGGCAACGAAUGUUGUGGAUGAGGUGAAUUUGGAUGUGGUUUUUGAUGCCAGUGAGGUGAGAUGUCUAAGAAUACCAACUUGCUAAGCUUUGUCUAUUUAAUUAGUGUCCAGCGCAAAUGAUCUUUGUUUGUAGUUAGAGCGCCCAACUAAUAACUAUCCAGAUCAAGUUGAUUUUUUUAAUUAUUUGAUACCAAAGUAUAAUCUGUAGUCCUAUUAUAUGUAGAUUAUGUCUUACACUUCUUUCCCUUUUUAUUUUCGUGAAGUAACAUAUUAAGUCCACACAAAAAAUUUAACUGUUUUUGAGAAGUAAGAUUUGUUUUGUUGAUAAGUCUCACUAGUUGUGUGUGUGCUUGGACACAUGAUACAACCACCUAGCUAGACUAUGGUGAGAUCACUAUACUAAUAGAGGAAACUUUCCUGUGAAGCCACGUCUAGUUAUUGGCCAGUAUAAAUGAGACUUGUGUGUGACUAGAGGAUAUUGCAUGCAGUACAAUGAGUGGACUGAUUAGGUCCCACAGCCUUUCCUGUUCUUUAAUGCGUCGGCUUGCUAAAUGUUCCAAACAAAUUUGUAGGCAUGUAUGGUUGCUGGAAGAACGCCCGAUGUUAAACCAAGAAUAACGGAUGGAUGUGAAAAGUUGAAGAACUGGAAGCUGGUCGACAUUUUUGAUCCAGGACAUCUUCAGGCAUGGCAUUGUCCAGAUUCAGCAACAUAUCCAACGAAAGUAUGUUCGUGAAGUUGCAUAAUUAUCUUUAGAUAUCUGUACGUUUUAUUGAGUUAUAAAUAUCGAGCAUGUAAUUCAACUUAAACAUACAAUCUGUUCUUUUUUUAACAUAUAGAAAAGGGUAGCCAUAUUGUCUGUCUGAGCCUGUGUUAUUAUUUCAUAAAGGUCUAUUUUGACCCUCAGUUUAUGGCGGCAUUUUCAUGUAUUCUUUAGUUUUUUGUUAUAUAAUUGGCAGUCCAGUAGUAUUCAAGCAAUUUUGUUUAUGCUCUUGGCAAUGUAAAAUUUCUGAUGAAUCACGUUUUAUUUGUUUCCUUAACAGGUUGUCCGUUUGUUAUAUACAAAUUAUGGGACUGCACUUUUAUCUCUCGGUUCGGAUGGUGUUCAUAAGCUGUGGAAAUGGAAGCGCAGUGACAGGAAUCAUAAACUCAAGGUAGAAUGAAGAAUUGUAUUUGUUUGGAUUUCUCGAAUACGCAGGAGUGCACACACUUUAUAUUAAAGGAGGAGAUGGGGGAAAAGAGCCCCUCCACGUUGGUGUUACAUAUUAAAUGAAACCAACUCCACCCACAUAACACCUAAAGCCUAACUUCUCUCGGUAGCCCACGUUGCCAACGCCCCUAGGAAGGUGUUCACCACUCAUUUAAGGAUCCCGACAUGUUUCCACGUUCUUCCCUCCCCCUCCAUCCUAGUAAUUACAUGGUCCUUCGAUGAGGUUGCCCCAUCGAACACAAUUGCAUUGCGGUGUUUCCACAGCUCCCACAUGACGGGGUAUUUAUUUGGAUUUCAGUUGCAAUCUUUUUGUGAUUGCCUUCUAAAUUAUCUUUACUGUCUUUUGUUAGUCUACUGCAUCUGUUUCGCCUCACCUGUGGCAACCAGAAAGUGGGCUUGUUAUGGUAAAUUACGCAAGUGAUGGCAUCCCGAAAGAAAAACCUGCCUGCAUUGUGGUGUCCAAAAAUGACUUCUAUGUAGUGUCUGCAUCUGGUGGCGAAAUCUCACUAUACAAUAUGAGGACGUUCAAGGUAAAUGGCUUCUCCAGCAACCAUAACUUCAUAUAACAAGAACCAUAAUUGUGUUACUACCUUUUUCCGACUUUCCUGAAUAGAUAUGUGGAAUUUGCCACAGGUCAUGGCUACGUUCAUGGCACCUCCACCUGCUGCGACUUUCCUCGCAUUCUACCCACACAACAAUAAUAUUAUUGCUAUAGGACUGGAGGACUCGACGAUUCAAAUCUACGAUAUCCAUUCUGAUGAGGUGUGUGUUUCCUAUAACCUCUUGCUUCGCCCUACUUGAUGUAUCAGAGAUUUAACUUAGGGUGUAUUUAGUAUUAGCCCACCAAAAAAUUGGUUUGUCCAAAUUCUGUUCACGGUAUUGGUUGCCCAUGAUUUGUCCAAUGUGGGCAAGCAAAAUGAACUUGGGUGGACAAAUGAAAAAGGGCAUGCCAAAUUAUUGACAACCAUCCAAACAUGGUCCAAAAUUUUGGUAACGUAGAUUUCGUACAUAAACCAAACAUAACCUUACAAUUUCUACCGAUCAGAUAUUUCAACGAACACUUCUAAAUGGUGUUAGUCUGGUAAUAUUGAUUCCUUCCAUGUUGAAUUUGCACUUAAUAUUUGUUUAUUUUGCACUAAAUCUUUAUUUGAAAGCCAUGUACUAAUGUUAACUCAAGAAAAUUACUUAGGUCAAAAGCAAGCUCAAGGGUCAUCAAAAAAAGAUUACUGGGCUGGCAUUUUCUCUAUCAAUGAAUGUUCUUGUAUCUUCAGGUGCUGAUGCUCAGGUACGAACUUAUUAUGUUAUAAAUUAUUCUACUGGUUAAAUGUACAAAUCACUAGGCGGAAACAGUUCAAUUCACAUUACUCACAUGCCAGGCCAUUUAUUAGUCUGUUUAUUAUAGUUUAUAUGCAAUUUUGCAGCUAUGCAUCUGGAGCAUUGAUGGUUGGGACAAGAAGAAAUCAAAAUAUAUUCAACCCCCGGCAAAUCAUUCCCGUGCUUUAGUUGGCGAUACAAGUGUGCAGUUUCACAAUGACCAAACACAUCUUCUGGUAGUUCAACAGAGCCAAUUGUCAAUCUAUGAUGAAAAUCUUGAGUGCUUGCGCUCGGUAAGUCAUCACCAAAAUUUCUUAUUUUUGUAUCUGCUCAUCGCUUUCCAUGUUCAUAUUGUUUCUUACCCUAGGUUUUUACACCAUACCACUGCAUGUUAUUGCUAAAUAUUUUUGAAUUAUACACAUUUGCUUCUUCUUUAUGAAUUAUUGUUACUGCCUAUGAUGAUCAUCUUGAUUGACCCCUCUGUUACUUGAUAAUGCAGUGGAACCCAAGAGAUGCACUGACAGCUCCAGUUUCGAGUGCAAUAUACUCUUGUGAUGGUCUCCUGGUUUAUGCUGGUUUCUGUGAUGGUGCUAUUGGAGUAUUUGAAACAGGGUCUCUUAGGUUGCGUUGCAGGAUUUUACUUUCUGCUUAUGUGCCUUCUUCAAUAUCUAGGUAUGCCCAGUGUCACCAACAUUUUUUUUUAAAUACAUGACGUUUUCCGCCGGGUCGCGAGCCGUCGGAUCCGCGUCAUCGAUCAGCUGAGGGGCAUCCUUCAUCAUUGCAACAUAACUAAUGUUGCAGAAAACUUUGCCACAAAGGUCGUCUUGCAGAAAAUCUUUGCAACAAAGACCGUGUUGCAAAAUUGUUUUUUUUCAAAAAUAGAUCAUGUUGCGGAAAACCACCUCGCCCCGCGCAUUGCAACAACAAUUAUGUUUCAGAAACAUAACCUUUGUUGUAAUUCAUGGGAUUCCAAUUGAGAGAGAAUCGAAAGGAGAGAGCACACAUUGUAACAAUGAUCAUGUUUCAGAAACAUCAUCAAUGUUGCAGUUCAUCAAAUCCCAAUUGGCAGACAGUUAGUGGAGAGCGCACCAUGGAAGCUUUGGUGGGAGCUCGUGUGUUGAGAGGGAGGGAGAGAGACAGAGGGGUAAGGAGAGAGGAGGAGGGAAUGAGAAAGGAGCUGGCGAGGACGAUGCAGGUCGGUAGCAGUUCUAUUCGUGGUGGCUCCAUUACGGUACUCCCUCCAUUCCCUUAUACAAGGCCACAAACUCAUAUUACAGGUACCAAGAUAAAAUUUAAUGAGUGAGAAGAGAGAGUCUCUAAGGAGGUAGAUGAAGAGAUGGUAAUGAGUGGCUGAGACGGAUUGAGUCUUUGAGAAAGAAAUAAGGGAUGAGGAUGAAGGUGGUGUGUGGACCCCGUAAGGGCACAUGCUUGGAUCUUGCCUCAUCCAACGACGCACCGAGCGGCGUCUCAAAUAAGCAGAUCACUCGGCUGAAUAUUUUUUUAAAGGAGGAAUACCUCCGACCUCUGCAUGAGUUGAUGCAUGCAGGCACAGGAUCACUCGGCUGAUGCUAAUCUUUUCCCUUAUCUUAUUCUCUUUGUUAGGUAAUCCAAAGAGUACCAUGUUUAGUUUUGGUAGUUUUACUAGGAAGUGAUCACGUAUGUCGUAUGUGGUGUUUGAGUCUGGUUAGGAUUAGUAAAGGGUGAUCAGCGUUGCCGGUUGAUUAGAUUAGGAAAGUGUAGGGUGAGUCGGUCAGCCCUUUCCAUGUGCUAGCUUAGUACUAGUCCGCGUAGGUGUAGUGUCCAAGUUGUGUCCGUGUUGUUAGCUCAUAGUGUCCUGGUUAGACUCGUUGUUGGCUAUGCGUGCAGCUGGCCUGAACAUCUAUAUAUACAAGCACAGGGCCUGCGAGAUUUGUACUGGAAAAAUAGAAAUAAAGAGAAAAAAGGCACGAUACUCACCGUUGGCUAUCAAUUUUUUUGUGUACGUGUUCGUGGUAUUUUGAUGUGAUUGAUCCUAUGGGCAAGUUUCAACACAUGACAUUUUUGCUUCUUAUUCCAAGUGACCAUUAUCUUAUUCUCCUUGUUACAUCUUCUCCAACAGCGGGGGAAGUGUGUACCCGAUGGUUGUAGCCGCACAUCCCUUGGAGCCUAACCAGAUUGCAGUUGGCAUGAGUGACGGGGAAGUUCAUGUGCUGGAGCCACUGAAAGCGGACCGAAAGUGGGGAGUUGCGCAUCCCCAGGAUAACGGAGCCCACCCAAACUUUGGAGACUUAUUUGAUGAUUUUUUUCUGGAGGAUUUUUUUAACGAGGUGUAACGGUCAGGUUUCGAAAACGAUUUGAUUUUUCUUGUCAAACUUGCCAUGAUGCGUGACACAAGGUGUUUCAGCUCGAGCUCAUACGAGCUCGGGUGACAGUAAAAUCCAAACAAAAUCAUUAAAAAUACUGAUUUUUUUUUCUUUGUGGCAAACAUUGAAAAAUGUUUGAUUGUUGGCAAAGUGUAGUCAUGGAAUGACAUUUCUAGAGGUAAUGUAAAAAAUGAUACUUCAAAAAUGCCAUUUUCAAAACAUUUGUCAAUGUUUGCCACCAAGAAAAUUAAGUUUUUUUUAUUAAUUUUUGAAUAUUUCAGGAUUUUACAGUUCAUAUCAAAUCAUAUAAGCUUAAGUAGAGAUGAGGACUUUCCUAUCAUGCAGCUGUUUGCUAAGAUGGUUUUCUUUGGAUGAACAUUUUGUUGAAAAUAUGAGCAAGUUACUACGAGAUUUAAUCCGAAUAAACAUAAAAUAAAUCAUGACAGCGAUAACAGAGAUUGAAUCAAUCAUGCAGACCAGCAUAGUAGAUGAACUAAUCAGGUUUGGAAGCCUGGGCGCGCCACGGGGUGCCUGAUGCACACUGUUGGGUUGUGAUCACUGUGGGCCCCCGUUUGCGUUGAUUCCAAAUCCCAAAAAUCACAUAUAUUUUAAAAUAAUUCUCCGUAAAUUUUCAUCGCGUUUUUACUUCGUUUAAUAUGGAUUUUCUGCAAAACAAAAACAUGCAACAAACGGGAACCGGCACUGGGCACUGAAUCAAUAGGUUACUCCAAUAAAUCAUAUAAAUUGUUGCCAAAAAUAUGUAAAAGUUGUAUAAUACUGGCAUGAAACAAUAAAAAUUUAUAGAUACGACGGAGACGUAUCAGCAUCCUCAAGUUUAAUUCCUGCUCGUCCUCGAGUAGGUAAAUGAUAAAAAGAUAACUUUUUGUGUGGAAUGCUAUCUAGCAUAAACUUGAUAAUAUAUCUAAUCAUGGCAUGCAUAUUAAGACAUAAGUGAUUCAAAGCAAUAGUCUAUAAUUUGACAUAAAGACAUUAAUACUCAGGCAUCCCAACAAACAAUCAUGUCUUUCAAAAUAUCAACGCUAACGAAAGCUAUCCCUACAAAAUCAUAUAGUCUUGUCAUGCUCCGUCUUCUUAACACAAAGUAUUUAUCAUGCACAACCCCGAUGACAAGCCGAGCAAUUGGUACAUGCUUUUUAACGCGCUUCAGAUUUUUCAGCCCUCACGCAAUACAUGAGCGCGAGCCAUGGAUAUAGCACUAGGGUGGAAUAGAGUAUGAUGAUAGAGGUAAAUAUAGAGAAGACAAAAAGUAAGAAAGUCUCACAUAGAGUAUGAUGUAGCUAACCAACGGGCUAUGAAGAUGCCCAUCAAUCAAUAUCAAUGCGAGGAGUAGGGAUUGUCAUGCAACGGAUGCACUAAGAGCUAUAAGUGUAUAAAAGUUCAAUAUGAAAACUAAGUGGGUGUGCAUUCAACUUGCUUGCUCAUGAAGACCUCGGACAUUUGAGGAAGCCCAUCAUCGGAAUAUACAAGCCAAGUUCUAAAAUGAAAUAUUUCCACUAGUAUAUGAAAGUGACUAAAUAGGAGACUCUCUAUAUAUAUAAAAAAUGGUGCUACUUUGAAACGCAAGUGUGGAAUUAGCAUUCCCCUUCUCUCUUUGUGUUUAUUCUUUUUUAUCUUUUUUAUUUUUUUCUCUCAUUGUACGGAGUCUCAUCCCAACUUGUGAGGAAAUCAUAGUCUCCAUCAUCCUUUCCUCACUGGGGCAAUGCUCUAAAAAUGAAUAAUAAUGAUUAUCACACUUCUAUUUACUUAUAACUCAAAAGAAUAAAAAAAUUACAACUCGAUACCUAGAACAAAAUAUGACUCUAUAUGAACGCCUCUGGCAGUGUACCAGGAUGUACAAUGAUCUAGCAUAACAAUGAUAUCAAAAAAAGUACAAGCCAUGGAAAUAUUGUGCUAGCUAUCUUACGAUCAUGCAAAGCAAUAUGACAAUGAAUGCUCAAGUCAUCAAGAUGGAAGCGGUGGAAGUUGCAUGGCAAUAUAUCUAGGAAUGACUAUACAAAGGCCAUAAUAGGUAUGUAUGGUGGCUGUUUUGAAAAAGAUAUAAUAAGGCUUAUGUGUGAUAGAGCGUAUCAUAUCACGGGAUUUGGAUGCACCGGCGAAGUUUGCACCGACUCUCGAGGUGAGAAAGGGCAAUGCACGGUACCAUAGAGGCUAGAAAAUUGUGAAAAGGUAAUUAAGAGUGUGUAUAUAAUCCAUGGACUCACGUUAGUCAUAAAGAACUCAUAUACUUAUUGCAAAAGUUUAUUAGCCCUCGAAGCAAAGUACUACUACGCAUGCCCCUAGGUGGAUAGAUUGGUAGGAAAAGACCAUCGCUCGUCCCCGAUCGUCACUCAUAAGGAAGACAAUCAAUAAUAAAUCAUGCUCCAACUUCAUACCAUAACGAGAGACCAUACGUGCAUGCUUAGGGAAUCACAAACCUUAACACUAAUAUUCUUACUAACCACAACCAUUUUAUAGUACCUCUCACAUAUUCCAUCUCUAUAUCGCAAAACUAUUGCAAGGAAUCAAACAUAUCAUAUUCAGUGAUCCACAAGUUUUAUGUAGGAUUUUAUGACUAACCAUGCAAUUGACCAAUUCAUGUUGACUCUCUAAAUAGAUAUAAGUGAAGCAUGAGAGUUUAAUUCUUCUACAAAAGACCAUGCUCUAAUAAGUAUAAGUGAAGCAAAAGAGCAUUCUACAAACAACGGUUUUCUAUGUGAAGAGAAACCUGCAAUCCAAACUUCAAAUGAUAUAAGUGAAGCACGUGAAGCAUUCCAUAAACCCAUACUCAAAAGAUAUAAGUGAAGUGCACUGAGCCUUCUAUAAAUCAACCAUGGACUAUCUCAUACCAACAUGAUGCAUAAAAGAAAAAUGAAAACUGAACACAAAAGACACUCCAAGAUUUACGCAUCUCACAUGAACGAAACAGAGACGAAAACAUACCGAUACCUGUUGAAGAAAGAUGGGAUGCCUUCCGUGGCAUCCCCAAGCUUAGACGCUAGAGUCUCCUUGAAUAUUUACUUGGGGUGUCUUGGGCAGCUCCAAGCUUGAGCUCUUUCCUCUCCUCCUUCUCCUCAUAUCGAGACCUCCUCGAUCUUUGAUCACUUCAUCCACACAAAACUCAACAGAAAGCUCGGUAAGAUCCAUUAGUAUAAUAAAGAAAAUCACUACUCUAAGUAUUAUUGCAAACCAAUUCAUAUUUUGUUUUUGCAUUGUAGCUACUGUAAUAUAACUUUUCCAUGGCUUAUACCACCGAUAGAAUCGAUAGUUUCAUGGCUUAUCCCAUUCCAUGCAAGACGCUAUGUCUUGGAGAUGAUGGGUUUUGAAGAUCAUGAGAGGAAUGAAACAAAGAAAAUUCACCUAAGGACCCAUCAUGGUAUGUAUUUUGAGGUAAAUCUAUACAAUUCUGAGAGCAUAUCCAAUUUUGGUUGCCCGGAUUGGGAAGCACUUUGCAAGAUGUAUGAUUUUUAAGAGGGUAUGUUUGUCACCAUGGAUCUUGGUGAUCCUGACAUCGAGGUAGACAAUUUGGACAUUGGGUCCUUGUUGAUACGCUUCCAAUUCUACCGCUAUGUGAGUUUCUCAAACAUAAUCAUUAAGUAAUUUAUAUUGUUUAUUUCAAAAUAGUUGACAGCUUAUUUUCAUUCUUCAAAGAAUGUGCGGAAGAUGGUAGACAGAACUUACUACACCGAUGGCUCUGAGUUAACUUAUCAGGAGAAAAAUCAUCUGGUCGCAUUUUGUAUUGAUCUUGAGAAUUACAACGUCUAUUAUCAAACUCCUCCACAUUAUGGUCAAUAUGUGCCACUAGUGCACGUGUUGAACUAUGCUAACAUCCAUGGAGAUCACCUGGUAAGAUUUUUAAGUAUUACGACAUCUGUGCAUAUUUUGCAUAAAUUCUUCUAAAACUGAACUACAUUGCUAACUACGAAGUUAUUACUAUAUUUUUCAACAGAUAAUCCCGCAGGAGUGUGUGCCUCAUCUGAGGUUUCCGAAAGGUCGCCUUGAUGUUUUGAAUAUACAGCCAAGUCAUCCAACGAAUCACUCCUGUUCAUAUCGGAUUUCUAAAUGCAAUGAAGACAUGACCAUCAAAGAUUGGAACAAAUGUAUGGCCACUCGUAAGGAGGUACUUGGAAGCAACAUUAGGCGAAGUGCAAGAAUUGGAGACAGGAUAAUCUCCAUUCUCCAUAAUGGAGAGUUAGGGUCUAUCUUGUUUUAUGCUACUUUACCUAAGAGAAGGUAGUAGGUUGUAGCUAAUACUCAUGAUCAUGUGCGAUCAUGUGCUAAGAACAACUAAGUAGGAUUGGUUAGAUGACUAUGAUGAUGAUGUGGUAUCGAGUAGAAGUUGUAUGAUCAAUGAUGAUGAGUAUGACUUGUUGUUAUGAUACCAAUGAUGAGUUAUUUAUUAUUAUGAUCGAUGAUGCAUGAUGCUAAGUUGUAUGAGCAUGAUGAGUUAUUAUAUAUAUCAUUAGGUGAAAUGAACAUGGAAUAGAUUCAAGUGGAGGCAGCAUGUGGUGCACAUCGAAACUACUACUAAUCCAAACUAGAUCAAGUUUGGAUUAAUAGUACUUACGACAUGCACCACAUGUUGCCUCCACUUGAAUCUACUCCACGUUCAUUUCACGCACUGUUAUAUAUAAUAACUAAUCAUGGUCAUAAAAUCAUAUGAUGAAAGUACUAUAUAUAAAACCACAACGAAAAUAAGCUGCAAUUUAAAAAAUAGAGGAAAAGCUAGUAGUAGCGCUUUUCUAUAGAAACGCUAUUGCUACUUACAACUAUCAGCAGCACUUUUUCAGCACGAGCGCUACUGCUAACUAGGUAUAGCAAUAACGCUGGCGUUCCAGCGCUACUGCUAAGAGUUAGCUUUAGCGCCUUAGUAGUAGCGCUGGCACAAGUGCUACUAGUAGCUCUAAAACCAGCGCUGCUACUAGGGCUUUCCCUAGUAGUGAAGAACAAGGCGGCGGACGGCUCCUCUAAGUUGUCGAGGAAGAAGCCUGCAGGGCAUGCGACGGACGCGGCGGCUACCGAAGCGCCGGCGAGCUCACUUGCUGAGUCGGCGGCCGACGCGCACAAGGUGUUCGAUGAAAUGCCCCAAAGGUAUAAAAUUUCGCCAACAUUUUGUUGUUGUUGUUUUUUGUAUGAAGACAUAUGGAUAGCUUAUUUGCUUUGUUAUAUAUACUUUGUAGUUUCAACGAUGAGGCAUAUAUGUCAACUAUGGGUGUUGGCUCCAAGAAUUCUCAUUGGUAUCAAACCAAUGACAUGCAUUUCGAUGAUCAUGAGUUUGAGGUGUAAGAGGAUGGUGAGGGCAUAGUCGACGCACCGAAAGGAAGAGGAGGCAACUACACCAAUGAUGAAUACAUCUUGCUAUGCAAUACUUGGUUGCAAGUGUCGAAGGAUCCCUCUGUUGGAGGUGAUCAAAGUAAAGAUGCAUAUUGGAACCGGAUAAAGGAGCACUUUGAUCUACACAACAAAAGUGGAAUUGACCGCUCGGAGAGAUCUUUUCGCUACCGGUGGCCGAAAAUCAACCGAAAUUGUCAAAGGUGGGCGGCCGCACUUAAGGCGGUUGACAAGUUGAACCCAAGUGGCACUAAUGAUAUAGAUAGGGUAAGUGCCAUUUCUUCCAUGUUCAUCAUGCUUCUUCUUGGUAUUUGUAGUGCUAACUUGUUUUUUUAUGUAGCUCAAUAUUGCACAAAACUUGUUCGACGGAGAGGAGAAGAAGAGCAAGAAAGGGAGACCAUUUACCUUGCAUCAUUGCUAUGAAGCAUUGAAGGAUGAUGAGCAAUGUAAGAAGCGUGAUGAUAUCGAUGAUGUUGAUGAGAGCAACAAACGCAAGCGAACUAUUAAUUUGGAUGAUGAUGAUGAUGAGGUAUCAAGUGAUGACGGCGAGAGAAGCCUACAAAAAACUCGGUUUCAUACUCCAAGCCAAAAAGACCGGAUGGAUGCAAAAAAGACACAAAAGAAAAGAAGAAGAGGGAAUGAGAUGACAAGCUCAACAAUGCUAUGGAAGCUAUUGUGAAGGCAAGAAAGGAAGCGAACGAGGUGAGGAAGAUGGCAAGGAACCAAGAUGCCGCGACCGAGGAGAGGAGGUUGGCGGUCGAGGAGAUGAGGGUGGCGACUGAGGAGAGGAAGGUGGCAUUGGAGGAGAAGAAGGUAGCCAUGGAGGAGCGAGCUCUGUUGUUGGAAUGUGAGAAGUACUUGUUCUUCAUGGACACAUCUACCCUCAAUGAGGCGCAAAAGGUGUAUGUCAAUCUUGCCCGUGAAGAAGUCUUGGUCCAAAAAAGAGUCGUGGUUCGCAGUGGCAUGGGCGGCAUGGGAGGCGGUGGCAUUGGCGGCAUGGGUGGAUGUGGCAUUGGUGCCAUGGGUGGAGGUGGCAUUGGCAGCAUGGGAGGAGGUGGCAUCGGCGGCAUGGGUGGAGGUGGCAUUGGCGGCAUGGGAGGCAUCGUGGCUUCGGAGCUACCAUGGGUGGCAUGGGUGCCAUGGGUGGCUUUGGAGCUACCAUGGAGACCAUGGGAGGCGGGGGUGGCUUCGGAGCUACCAUGGGAGGCAUGAGUUUUUGCGUCUCUCAUGAGAGGCAUGGGAGCACCUCCGGGCGGCAUGGGCGGAAUGUCUUCCGGUGUGCUACACACACCUUCGCAUGAUGACGUUGAAGAUCUUGCCAACACCUUCCGAGCUUCAAAUGAUGAUGCGGCGCGCGACAAUGAAGAGGAGGAAGAAUCGUCUUCGGAUGAUGAAUCGGAGGAAGAGGAAGAGGAAGAUGAAGACGAGGACGAGGCUUGAUUGUUGAUGGGCCAUUCGUUGGCGUGAACUUUUGUGUCAUGAACUUGGUUCGGAUUUUGAACUUGGUUGGAUGAUGUUGUGGGCAUGAACUUUUAUGUCAUGAACUUGUUUGGGUGAUUUAAAUUAUGCCAUGUCUUUGUUUUGAUGUUUGAAAUAUCUCAUCUCGUCUGCAAAAUGCAACAUAUGCCAAGCGCCGGCUGCUCGCGCGCGCUGCUUUUUAGCGCCUACCGGAGCUACUCGCGCACGCUAAACUUUUGUGCAGCCCGUUGGAGCGAGCGCUCCUCGCCGCGCAAAAACAGGCGAUCGGUGCGCUGCAAACGCUUUUUUUGUGUGUCACUUGUUAGGCGGCUGUUGGAGAUGCUCUCAACAACGAAGAAAGAUAGACAAUGGGAGGCCGCCGCCGCUUGGGUCCCACCAAGCCCACUACCACCGCCUCGCCGAGUUGCACAACUGAUGACUUGCCCUGUGAGCAGGGCGUAGACCAGAGCGACUGUCUUUCCCCACCAAAAACCAACCUUGAUAUGUGCCUUGCUGCAUCAUAGGGAGGCUACUCUUUCACUCCCGUUGAAGCAUAUCCCUCCGGGGCUUACGGCUGUCCGAUGAGCGGGCUGCCGGACCAGGGAAGACAUGUAAUGGGAAUGGAGAUCCACCGCAGCCGGCACUAAACAAGUUAAAGCCUAGUCCGCUAGUUAAAAUAUGUGAGAAAUAUAACUACUUUUGUCUGAUUUGUAUGAAAAUUAUCUGGUUUGCAUGAAUUCGCCCAGUUUGUUGACAUACUGUCUGAAAUGUAUGUGACUAGGUUUCGAUGACCGGCUCUUGCAUCCGUGUCUGCGGACUGGUCCGCCAUUGUCAACAGACUGAUGCAGUAUCGGGUUUACGGGUCAGCACUGGAGUUGCCCUAUUAUAUAUUUAUUUACCAGUCUUUUUCUGACGGUAUUGAUCACGUCAAACUAGGGGAACAAACUCGACCAAGAACUUUUCGCCAAGGACUUGUAUGGUGCCCUCUUGAUUUUCCCUUCAUUUCUCAAUUUUCUGAUAUAUAGCCGCACGGCUAUGACUCAAAUACUCUCGAUAAUCCACUUUGGUGCGUGACGUGAUUAAAAAUAGUAAAAAAAUACAAGCAAGAUGCACAGUUUGCACAUUUGAGGAAUGCGCGGCAAAAAAGACAAAACCAUGCAUGAACAGUGUUGUUUUCAAAUGUUUCUCACAGCCCUUUUUUUUUGCCAUAUGAAGUUUUGCAUGAACAUCACACAAUUUAGCAUGUUGCAUCACAAAAAGUUUUAGAUUUUUUUAAUCCCUUUUCCUAUUUUUACGGCCUUACUGUUCAAGCCCGGGCUGAGGACCAAACCGCACUCCAAUACUCUGACUUUUUUUUGACAUAGUAGGAGUAGUACUCACGACACUGACUAAGACACGAACUCAUCUAUAUUAGAGCAUCUACAAUAAAUAAUAUAGAUGUGAAAAUAAUUAGCUUUUACACUUGAGGCCUAAAAAUGCAUCUCCAAUAGAUGAUGCAGGCAUAACAAAAAUACAUCAUUUGCUUCAAAGUGAUGUAAAAUACAACAUUUAGAGAUGCACAUUUGCAUCUCCAUCCCCUAAGGAUGUAAAAAAAGCCACUCGCGCGCCGACGACCUAACUGCCACCCGAUUCGAGCUUCUCGUGCCGCCCCGCCGCCGCCAAUCUGCCGCCCAAUUCGAGCCCCGCCGCAGCAUUUGAAGGGAGAGUCUCGGGCGCCGCAUCGCUCGGCUGCAGAAGCUCGGUCGAUGCCACUAGAUCGGCAGUCGCAUAGCCGUCAUGCCGCUGUUGUACUAGUUUACAUCUUCAAAUACAUCAUCUGUUGGAGUAGUAGUUUUACAUUACGAAACUGCUCCACACACGACACUGCAGUGCCCGAUCUGUGCACGACCAGCAUACAGCGGUCAGUGCCCUUUCAAUCCUAGGCAUGUCUGGCUGGAUGUAAUUGUCGUGCAUGAAUCGUCUGUUGUUUCAUCGUUCGCAUAGCAUUACUCUUUACAUUAACAAAUACACAUCACUUGUCGGAGUUGAGAAUUUUUGGGAGAUAUAUGAAGCAUGUUUUGGUGAUGUAAAUUAUACAACACCUACUUUUACAUCCCCAAAUAUAUACAUAAUCUAUUGAAGAUGGUCUUAGAUUGAAAAUCAGAACGACCACUGCUAGCUUGAUCAUGCUUAUACUAAUCCUUAGUUCCUUACUGAGCUCAAUUAGAAACCUACACUAACCAGUAAUGUGUUGGUAUUACUCUAACAGCCUCUGAGUCAAGUCAAGUCAAGUCAACUUUGUAUAUAACAGCCUAUAGGUUCGAGAACUAUGUAGACAUGACCGAUACACCUCUCCGGUCAAUAACCAAUAGCGGAACUUGGAUGCUCAUAUUGGUUCUCACAUAUUCUACAAAAAUCUUUAUCGGUCGAACCGCUAUGUCAAUAUACGUUAUUCCCUUUGUCAUCGGUAUGCUAUUUGCCCAAGAUUCGAUCGUCGAUAUCUUCAUACCUAAUUCAAUCUCGUUACCGGCAAGUCUCUUUACUCGUUCCGUAAUGCAUCAUCCCGCAACUAACUCAUUAGUCACAUUGCUUGCAAGGCUUCAUAUGAUGUGCAUUACCGAGAGGGCCUAGAGAUACCUCUCUGAUACUCGGAGUGACAAAUCCUAACCUCGAUCUAUGCCAACCCAACAAACACCUUCGGAGAUACCUAUAGAGCAUCUUUAUAAUUACCCAGUUACGUUGUGACGUUUGAUAGCACACAAGGUAUUCCUCCGGUGUCCGGGAGUUGCAUAAUCUCAUAGUCGGAGGAAUAUGUAUUUGACAUAAAGAAAGCAGUAGAAAUAAAACUGAACAAUCAUUAUGCUAAGCUAAUGGAUGGGUCUUGUCCAUCACAUCAUUCUCCUAAUGAUGUGAUCCCGUUCAUCAAAUGGCAACACAUGUCCAUGGCUAGGAAACUGAACCAUCUUUGAUCAACUAGCUAGUCAAGUAGAGGCAUACUAGCUUCCGUUAAUACAAUUCUAGCAUGAAUAAUAAACAUUUAUCAUGAAUAAAAAAAUAUAAAAUAAGAACUUUAUUAUUGCCUCUAGGGCAUAUUUCCUUCAGUCUCUCACUUGCAUUAGAGUUAAUAAUCUAGAUUACAUUGUAAUGAAUCUAACACCAUGGAGUCUUUGUGUUUAUCAUGUUUUGCUCGCGGAAGAGGCUUAGUCAACGGGUCUGCCAUAUUCAGAUCCGUAUGUAUUUUAUAAAUCUCUAUGUCUCCCUCCUUGAUCAAAUCUCGGAUGGAGUCGAAGCGUCUCUUGAUGUGUUUACUCUUUUGUGAAAUCCGGAUUCCUUUUUCAAGGCAAUUGCUUCAGUAUUGUCACAAAAAAAAUUCAUUGGACCAGAUGCACUAGGCUAUACACCUAGAUCGGAUAUGAACUCCUUCAUCCGGACUCCUUAAUUUGCUGCUUCCGAAGCAGCUAUGUACACCGCUUCACACGUAGAUCCCGUCACGACACUCUGCUUGGAACUGCACCAACUGACAGCUCCACCAUUCAAUAAAAAUACGUAUCCGGUUUGUGACUUAGAGUCAUCCGGAUCAGUGUCAAAGCUAGCGUCGACGUAACCACUUACAACAAGCUCUUUGUCACCUCCAUAAACGAGAAACAUUUGUGUCUAGAGUUGUGUUGUGGUAUCUUCCCAUGAGUCCUUGAUCUUGAUCGUACACAUUUCGUGUAUGAUUAGUGUACAAUUGAAUCGAGGGCGUCACAAUUACUUCUAUCAAAAUUGGAGAUUCCAAGUUUAUGGAAGGAUAGUUCUCUAACCGCAGGCGUGUAGGGAGUCAGAUUAGCUAUUUGUGGUUGUAGAUGCUUUGAGACCGGUUUAAGGCGUCUGUUUGAGUAGCUUACUUUUGACGGUCAAUGAUCGGGCCGUCCGCUCAGAUGUUUGAGGGUCUGUGAGGCCGACUGUAAAUACUCUUAAAUGAAACUCUUUAAAAGACGAAAUACACGCUAACCAAGCUGUGGUUGGACGGUUAGAUGGACAGUGGUAUCUCAGCCUACCAUGGUUCAAGUUCCGGUGCUCGCAUUUAUGUGCCGGCUUAGUCUAUUUCAGAGGUGCUCAUAGAGGUAGGGUGUGUGUACGUGUUUAUAGGGAUGAGUGUAUGCGUGUAUAUAUGAGGAAUUGUGUUUCUAUUGUGUUAAAAAAGACGAAAUACAUACCAUGAUUUGAGCACGACUAUGUUCAUGCCUUUACCCUUUUCAAAUUCGGCACGGUGGACCAAAAGUGGCCUAUGCUGGGCAGUGUCGUGAACGAGUGGGUGCAUCACUCACAUGGUAGAACAGUGAAGUACACCAGUGCCAGUACAUUUGCCCAUGUGAUUCCUCUUUUCUCUCCGCCCGCAGACUCGUAUCUGAACCCUCGGAAAUGUCCAAAUUGCUGCAACACGGAGUUCCUCAAGAUUCCUCAGUAUUGCUAGUGCUCUCUUGGAGCCGGCUCCUCUGACAUGUAUUCCCUUCGUCCCAUAAUAUAAAAAUGUUUUUUACACUAAUAAGAAGCACAAUAUUUCUCCGUGUAAAAAAAAACAAAGGCAAGUCGGAGAGAUUAUGCAGGCGCUGUAGAUAGUUAUUGUUGGAGUAUUACCUGACCAAGGAUAUCUGAGAUUGCAACUGGUAAUAAGUUUGGCCACGGAACACCAGAAGCUGUCCAGUGUUAGGAGCGAGGGGUUGAGGAUAAUAAGAAGUCGGGCGAAAAAGCAAAGGACGUGUGUCGACGUGAUGCUGGGCCAGGGUAAAAAAAAGUGUAGCGCAUGGAGAGCGGGGGUGACUGGCCGGAAGUUCAGCCGGGCAGCCGAUUGUAAAUCGUUUACCUUGUACCAGGGUAAAUCGUUUACCUUAGUAGUACUGGUUAAUUUUCGUAGUUCCGAUAAGUAUUAAUCCAUGCUGAGCUCGAUUAACCAGUACAGUACUAAUGUGUUUGUAUUACUCUAGCAGCCUCGAGUCAAGUCAUGUCAACUUUGUAUAUUACCCACACCCCGACCUACCAACCGGAAUUGCUGCAAGGAGAACAGACCACCAUUCACUCAGCGCCUUUCUCUCGUCAUCGAUCUAUCGACGUCUUCCUCUCUCUCUCUCUCGGGGCAACUAGUAUAGAAAAGCAACUUCAUGUGCAAGAAUAGAAAAAAAAAAUCUGAGCCAUUGGAUGGGAGAUGAAUGGCACAGAUCAUGGUGGAGGGGACUGUUCCCACUUAAUGUACAUUUGACGAAACACCCCCUAGAAAUAGAUAGAUAUGAACCAUCACUUUUGCAGUAACAACCUCAUGUCCCUCGUCCAUUUCCAAAUCUGCAGAAUGUUGAUGCCAACCCUUUCAAGCAUGUCAAUAUUCCAUUAUAUGUGAAAAUUAAGUCACCCCCUUGACGCACAACUAAAUGUAUAUGUCAUACUGGAUCAUCCAAAAUAGAACUACUAUUUUAUACGGAUUAUGCAACAUAAAAUUAAAGUCAACAUUAAGCUUAUCUAGUAAUACGCACCCACAUCUGAAUAGGCUGGUCAAAAUCUAUGUGAGCAAGGUAUUCCAUUUCUGGGUCCACUUUGAUCCACAUACAGUGAUACAUAACAUGAGAUGAUUAUUUUUAUUACAUGACCAGCAAAACUGAAUAUUAAGUGCUACUAAAAUGAUCACCGCUCAACGAGCAUUCUAAUUAAACUGUACUAGCUUUAUUUUUUAGAUCGUACACGUACAUGACAGAAUAUUAUUCAGUUGAACUUUGCCUCCAGCUCUAAUGCUUGUCGCUCAUCGAGCUUCAUUUGCAGGGUUAGAUAACACCAAAAGAAUAUGAUUCAGUUCAACACAGGAACUAAAAUUAUCUUGCGGGCAAAUGAGCUUCGCCCUUGCUGUCGUAAACAAGAGAAGCCUUUGCUAAACACUUCUUCUGUCCAUAUGAACUUUCGAUGCUUCUGUUGACAGAGCAUUACACAUCUACAAAAACAUUAACAAGUUUAUAGUUCACAUCAGAAGGCAAGACAUUGGAAAUAAUUAUGUUCUUUGGUGGACUAAAUGAUUGUAAGGGAAACAACAAAGCACACGCGAAUAUAAUGAAGUUCGUCUUGAGCUUCAUUUGCAUCACGAGCCAAAUGGUGAGCUCUAGAUCAGCUCGCAAGCUUAGGGAUGAGGGAUGAGCUGAAGCUCAAGCUUGACUCAUCGGAGGCUUGACGAGCUCGCAAAACCUGAUAUUGUUUUAUUUACAAAAUUCGACCAACACAUUACACAUGUGAUUGAGCUUACAUUAAAAUUCGACAAGCACAUACUAUUCUAACUUUCAUGCAUUUGUACUGAAAUUAACUUGAUUGAGUCUCUGUUAAAUCAGAUAACUCAAAACUUCUUUGAAAACAAAUAUUGUGCUUAAACUUUUCAUGCAGAACAGCAGAUUUUGUAAUAUUAAACAGCUUACAUGUAAAAAAAGACCCGGAUGGGCACACUCAGAGAGUACACAAGCAUAAAAAUACAAUCUUGUAACACAACCGAGCAUGCAAAUAGCUUUAGAAAAGAACUGCAGGUGAAAAAGUCUUUCCGGUGUAAGAGAAACCUAACUUUGAUUCAGCUUCAAGUGUAGCAUUGAUGCUUCCCUCUGCUACUUUAAUUGACCAUGCUUUCAAUCGACUUGGAUUCCAAUCUGCAGGGCGAAAGACUUCAAUGAGCAACCAUUGAGAGAUCAAGAACAUAAAAGAACAACGCUGCACUCAUUUAGUAUUCAUAUAUACUGCAUAUAGAAUGGCAUUUACAGCAGAAUACUAGCAAUGAACAUUUACAACAGAAUACUACAAAAAUAUAAAGAUUUUGGGAUUGGAUUGGGUCCAAAAUUUGGCAUGAGACAAAAACUUGACACUUGAUUUGCCAAAUACUGGCAACUUUUGAUAGUGCCAAAAUUGGUAUAUACAUAAUCUUAUAGGCACUAAGUCACUAAAGGGUUCACUCUCCCCCCUAAACCAUUCAAACCCCUUGCGCUGCAUACUUUAUAAUACAGAUAGCACAACCUUAGCAUGUUUUCAGAAUCAAUGUAACCAAAGCAUCAACAGAUUAAUGAUCUACAAGCUAAAACAUGGCAUCAUUUGACUUCAGGUUCUGGUUAGCAUCAGGCAUCAGCUAUCUAAGCAUGCACUCUCUUCCUGUUUUCAUGGAUGGUUAUCAAUGAAUUUUAUUGGUUCUCGUAUUAAUCUAGGAACACUCUGUAAAUAGCAUGAGGCAUCCAAAGCAGAAUCCAGAUCUAUAAAUCACAUGCCAAUAUAUGACGAUAAUACCACAUGUGAUUGCCGUCACCGCGUAAUCCAACUGAUAUUUCAGUGAUUUCAGAUGGUACCCCAUUAGUGUCCUGUGUGCAAUUGCUCUGAUUUAAUGUCUCCAUGAACCGCAUCAUUAAGGCCCAGCCUUCUUCUCGGUCCCUCAUCUGCCCUCGCAGAUCUUUGACGAAUGCGCAUACAUAAAUCUAUAUGGGAGAGGGGGAAUGGGAGGAUCGUAAUAUACCUUGAUGCUGAGCGUGAGAGGCGAAGGAGAAGCCCACCACCGGCGUGCCGCCGGCGAGCUAGGACCUUGAGAGGGGACGGAGGCACGGAUCACACUGACGAGCUGCUCCUGGGCCUGAGAGGGGAAGGGGUGAGUAGCCCACCAUCGGCUGCUGCUGGAAGGGGGCGAGCUGCUGCUGUUGCCGGAGAUGAGGAGGAUGCGGAUCUCGGCCGUCGCUACUCCCCCGCUACCGUCCGCAAGCGGGUGGGAGAUGGGCGAGGGUGACUCGCGGUUGCGUUCGGAGGAGGAUAUCGGGAGCAAAUUAAUCAGAAUCGAGGGUCCUUAUUGCUAACUGUCCGCAUAGAUCCCACCACGAUAAUCUGUACCACUCAUCCCAAUUUGGACGACCCAGAUCUAUUUUUCUAUUUUUUCACCUGAAGCUCUUCUUUUAUUCUAGUCGUUCCCCUCUCAAGGUUAGUUAGUGCUAUCGAUUUAUGCAGAUAUGUUGAAGCUGUCGAUCCGUGGUUUGGUAAACUGAGAAGCUGUAUUGUUAAUUCAUAGUCUCUGGCUGCUCACUCCUAGUUGCACUUGAAUGGAAUACACGUUAUAAAAUAAUUAGAGGCAUCUGUGAAGGUUUGCAUCAUCUGCACAACGAAAAGAAGACAUAUCAUAUGGAUCUGAAACCCGACAAUAUACUACUAGACAACGAUAUGGUGCCUAAAAUCACAGAUUUUGGUUUAUUGAGAGUUGAUGAGAAGUCAAAAACCAUGAGUGAAGAACGUCAUGGAU